rnacentral:rRNA from 1 species
UAGGGAAUCUUCGGCAAUGGACGAAAGUCUGACCGAGCAACGCCGCGUGAGUGAAGAAGGUUUUCGGAUCGUAAAACUCUGUUGUUAGAGAAGAACAAGGACGUUAGUAACUGAACGUCCCCUGACGGUAUCUAACCAGAAAGCCACGGCUAACUACGUGCCAGCAGCCGCGGUAAUACGUAGGUGGCAAGCGUUGUCCGGAUUUAUUGGGCGUAAAGCGAGCGCAGGCGGUUUCUUAAGUCUGAUGUGAAAGCCCCCGGCUCAACCGGGGAGGGUCAUUAGAAACUGGGAGACUUGAGUGCAGAAGAGGAGAGUGGAAUUCCAUGUGUAGCGGUGAAAUUCGUAGAUAUAUGGAGGAACACCAGUGGCGAAGGCGGCUCUCUAGUCUGUAACUGACGCUGAGGCUCGAAAGCGUGGGGAGCAAACAGG